GUCUGGAUGAGCUACUCUUAGGCCCGAACUACACGAAGGCGGAUAUUUAUUUAUCUGGAUAUUUUUGUACUCCCGUCUAAAUAAAUGUACCUGUCCACACAUGUUAGUUCAAAAAAAUAUCUGCGUCCACACGUAGGACAUACGAAAGUUUAGCUUCCAUUCAUCUGCAGGCACAGCCCCUCUAACGAAGUUGUCCCACCACUUGCUGGUCCGACCGGGUUUGAUCCAAAACUUACGCUUCUGGCAAACUUUAAAACGCCUAACGUUAACGUUACGAUUGCUCUCCAAAAAUAGUAUUGGGCGCAACAGACGCCUCUGUGAGCUGGCUGACUGGUGGAUGUAAUUGUAUAAAAUAAGGUUCACUUGCAAGGCUGAAAUUAGCCCCAAAAGGGCAAAACAAACGUAAAUAAUACCCUGUAUGUCCGCCAUCGUUGUUAUUGUUUUUGUUUUUCAUGCGCACGCGCGAGCUGCAAUUUGACGUCAUCGAUCCGUAAAAGUCCGACCACACGAAUCCACUGCGGAUACGGGAUACAGAUAUUUUUUUAUUUCUCCGCUUGUUUUUCCGGAUUCAGAUUUAUCCGGUUUGAGUGCUCCAAACUCCCGGUUUGGUGUGGUAGGGAAGCCUAAUCGGACAUGAAUAUGUGCGGUUUGAAAUAUAUUCGCCUUCGUGUAGUUCGGCCUCAGUCUGGUCCCUCCCCCAAGACCUGUUUGCCUUGGGUGACACUUCAGAGGCAUAAAGCCCCUGACAACAUAGCUCCUGGGAUCAUUGGGACACACAAACCCCUCCACCACGGUAAGGUGGUAGCUCGAGGAGGGGAAAAAAACCAUAAGGGUUUUUUUCCUUUUUUUUUUCUAAAUCAUUUACUUGUUGAAGAACAAGUUUUUCCAAGAUUUUACUUAAAAAUGGUAAGUUGGAUGGUUCCACAACCGGGGACCAUAAAAACUGAACGCCGCCUCCCCUUGUGUUUUUGUUUUUGACUUUGGGUAAGGUUAAAAGGCCUGUGCUGGAGGACCUCAGGGUCCGCGAGGGUUGAUUUGGUAAAAGUACAUCAGAUAAAUAAGAAGGGCCAAGUCCAUUAAUACAUCUAAAAACUAAUAAAAGAACCUUAUAAAUCAAUCCUGAAACAGAUCUGAAACGGAGUGGCGAUCAGUGAGAUAAGAGGUGAACCAGUUAAAAACAGUGCCUGAGAGGCCGACCAGGUGCUGAAGUCUAUUUAAUAAUGUGAUGGUCAACUGCAUCAAAGGCGGCGGCGGUUAGAUCCAGCAGGACCAAGACUGUGAGGUUGCCAUUAUCUAAAUUGCACCUGAUGUCAUUCAAAAUUUUUAAAAGGGCUGUCUCAGUACUGGGGUUCCUCCUAAAUCCUGAUUUGCACUUCUCUAAAAUGCUCUUUGUAUUUAAACGAUCGUAUUUAAAUACAAAGAUUGCUCUUCUAUUUUUUUUUUUUUUUGUGCCAAACAUCCACUUUAGGGUGUUUUUGUUUUUUUUUCAGAGUUUUUUGUUUUAAAGGUUUUUUGCCCAUUUUAAGGUUUGUUUUUUUUAGUUUUUUUUUUCUCGCCUGGCACAAAUGUCUGGAUGAGCUACUCUUAGUCUGGUCCCUCCCCCACAACCUGUUUGCCUUGGUUGACACUUCAGAGGCAUAAAGCCCCUGACAACAUACCUCCUGGGAUCAUUGGGACACACAAACCCCUCCACCACGGUAAGGUGGUAGCUCGAGGAGGGGAAAAAAACUCUCCCAUGGGGGAAGGAAAAACCAUAAGGGUUUUUUUUUCUUUUUUUUUAAAAAAUCAUUUACUUGUUGAAGAACAAGUUUUUCCAAGAUUUUACUUAAAAAUGGUAAGUUGGAUGGUUCCACAACCGGGGACCAUAAAAACUGAAUGCCGCCUCCCCGAGUUUUUGUUUUUUACUUUGGGUAAGGUUAAAAGGCCUGUGCCGGAGGACCUCAGGUUCCACAAGGGUUGAUUUGGUAAAAGCACAUCAGAUAAAUAAGAAGGGCCAAGUCCAUUAAUACAUCUAAAAACUAAUAAAAGAACCUUACAAUCAAUCCUGAAACGGACCUGAAACGGAGUGGCGAUCAGUGAGAUAAGAGAUGAAUCAGUUAAAAACAGUGCCUGAGAGGCCGACCAGGUGCUGAAGUCUAUUUAAUAAAAUGUGCUGGUCUACUGCAUCAAAGGCGGCGGCAGUUAGAUCCAGCAGGACCAAGACUGUGAGGUUGCCAUUAUCUAAAUUGCACCUGAUGUCAUUCAAAAUUUUUAAAAGGGCUGUCUCAGUACUGGGGUUCCUCCUAAAUCCUGAUUUGCACUUCUCUAAAAUGCUCUUUGUAUUUAAACGAUCAUAUUUAAAUACAAAGAUUGCUCUUCUAUUUUUUUUUUUGUGCCAAACAUCCACUUUAGGGUGUUUUUGUUUUUUUUUUCAGAGUUUUUUGUUUUAAAGUUUUUUUGCCCAUUUUAAGGUUUGUUUUUUUUAGUUUUUUUUUCUCGCCUGGCACAAAUGUCUGGAUGAGCUACUCUUAGUCUGGUCCCUCCCCCACAACCUGUUUGCCUUGGUUGACACUUCAGAGGCAUAAAGCCCCUGACAACAUACCUCCUGGGAUCAUUGGGACACACAAACCCCUCCACCACGGUAAGGUGGUAGCUCGAGGAGGGGAAAAAAACUCUCCCAUGGGGGAAGGAAAAACCAUAAGGGUUUUCUUUUCUUUUUUUAAAAAAAAUCAUUUACUUGUUGAAGAACAAGUUUUUCCAAGAUUUUACUUAAAAAUGGUAAGUUGGAUGGUUCCACAACCGGGGACCAUAAAAACUGAAUGCCGCCUCCCCGAGUUUUUGUUUUUGACUUUGGGUAAGGUUAAAAGGCCUGUGCCGGAGGACCUCAGGGUCCACAAGGGUUGAUUUGGUAAAAGUACAUCAGAUAAAUAAGAAGGGCCAAGUCCAUUAAUACAUCUAAAAACUAAUAAAAGAACCUUACAAUCAAUCCUGAAACAGACCUGAAACGGAGUGGCGAUCAGUGAGAUAAGAGGUGAACCAGAACAAGUUUUUCCAAGAUUUUACUUAAAAAUGGUAAGUUGGAUGGUUCCACAACCGGGGACCAUAAAAACUGAAUGCCGCCUCCCCGAGUUUUUGUUUUUGACUUUGGGUAAGGUUAAAAGGCCUGUGCCGGAGGACCUCAGGGUCCACAAGGGUUGAUUUGGUAAAAGUACAUCAGAUAAAUAAGAAGGGCCAAGUCCAUUAAUACAUCUAAAAACUAAUAAAAGAACCUUACAAUCAAUCCUGAAACGGACCUGAAACGGAGUGGCGAUCAGUGAGAUAAGAGAUGAAUCAGUUAAAAACAGUCUGGAUGAGCUACUCUUAGGCCCGAACUACACGAAGGCGGAUAUUUAUUUAUCUGGAUAUUUUUGUACUCCCGUCUAAAUAAAUGUACCUGUCCACACAUGUUAGUUCAAAAAAAUAUCUGCGUCCACACGUAGGACAUACGAAAGUUUAGCUUCCAUUCAUCUGCAGGCACAGCCCCUCUAACGAAGUUGUCCCACCACUUGCUGGUCCGACCGGGUUUGAUCCAAAACUUACGCUUCUGGCAAACUUUAAAACGCCUAACGUUAACGUUACGAUUGCUCUCCAAAAAUAGUAUUGGGCGCAACAGACGCCUCUGUGAGCUGGCUGACUGGUGGAUGUAAUUGUAUAAAAUAAGGUUCACUUGCAAGGCUGAAAUUAGCCCCAAAAGGGCAAAACAAACGUAAAUAAUACCCUGUAUGUCCGCCAUCGUUGUUAUUGUUUUUGUUUUUCAUGCGCACGCGCGAGCUGCAAUUUGACGUCAUCGAUCCAUAAAAGUCCGACCACACGAAUCCACUGCGGAUACGGGAUACAGAUAUUUUUUUAUUUCUCCGCUUGUUUUUCCGGAUUCAGAUUUAUCCGGUUUGAGUGCUCCAAACUCCCGGUUUGGUGUGGUAGGGAAGCCUAAUCGGACAUGAAUAUGUGCGGUUUGAAAUAUAUUCGCCUUCGUGUAGUUCGGCCUCAGUCUGGUCCCUCCCCCAAGACCUGUUUGCCUUGGGUGACACUUCAGAGGCAUAAAGCCCCUGACAACAUAGCUCCUGGGAUCAUUGGGACACACAAACCCCUCCACCACGGUAAGGUGGUAGCUCGAGGAGGGGAAAAAAACCAUAAGGGUUUUUUUCCUUUUUUUUUUUCUAAAUCAUUUACUUGUUGAAGAACAAGUUUUUCCAAGAUUUUACUUAAAAAUGGUAAGUUGGAUGGUUCCACAACCGGGGACCAUAAAAACUGAACGCCGCCUCCCCUUGUGUUUUUGUUUUUGACUUUGGGUAAGGUUAAAAGGCCUGUGCUGGAGGACCUCAGGGUCCGCGAGGGUUGAUUUGGUAAAAGUACAUCAGAUAAAUAAGAAGGGCCAAGUCCAUUAAUACAUCUAAAAACUAAUAAAAGAACCUUAUAAAUCAAUCCUGAAACAGAUCUGAAACGGAGUGGCGAUCAGUGAGAUAAGAGGUGAACCAGUUAAAAACAGUGCCUGAGAGGCCGACCAGGUGCUGAAGUCUAUUUAAUAAUGUGAUGGUCAACUGCAUCAAAGGCGGCGGCGGUUAGAUCCAGCAGGACCAAGACUGUGAGGUUGCCAUUAUCUAAAUUGCACCUGAUGUCAUUCAAAAUUUUUAAAAGGGCUGUCUCAGUACUGGGGUUCCUCCUAAAUCCUGAUUUGCACUUCUCUAAAAUGCUCUUUGUAUUUAAACGAUCGUAUUUAAAUACAAAGAUUGCUCUUCUAUUUUUUUUUUUUUUUUUGUGCCAAACAUCCACUUUAGGGUGUUUUUGGUUUUUUUUUCAGAGUUUUUUGUUUUAAAGGUUUUUUGCCCAUUUUAAGGUUUGUUUUUUGUAGUUUUUUUUUCUCGCCUGGCACCUAUGUCUGGAUGAGCUACUCUUAGGCCCGAACUACACGAAGGCGGAUAUUUAUUUGUACUCCCGUCUAAAUAAAUGUACCUGUCCACACGUGUUUGUUCAAAAAAAUAUCUGCGUCCACACGUAGGACAUACGAAAGUUUUUUGUUUUAAAGGUUUUUUGCCCAUUUUAAGGUUUGUUUUUUUUAGUUUUUUUUUUCUCGCCUGGCACAAAUGUCUGGAUGAGCUACUCUUAGUCUGGUCCCUCCCCCACAACCUGUUUGCCUUGGUUGACACUUCAGAGGCAUAAAGCCCCUGACAACAUACCUCCUGGGAUCAUUGGGACACACAAACCCCUCCACCACGGUAAGGUGGUAGCUCGAGGAGGGGAAAAAAACUCUCCCAUGGGGGAAGGAAAAACCAUAAGGGUUUUUUUUUCUUUUUUAAAAAAAAAUCAUUUACUUGUUGAAGAACAAGUUUUUCCAAGAUUUUACUUAAAAAUGGUAAGUUGGAUGGUUCCACAACCGGGAACCAUAAAAACUGAACGCCGCCUCCCCGUGUGUUUUUGUUUUUGACUUUGGGUAAGGUUAAAAGGCCUGUGCCGGAGGACCUCAGGGUCCGCGAGGGUUGAUUUGGUAAAAGUACAUCAGAUAAAUAAGAAGGGCCAAGUCCGUUAAUACAUCUAAAAACUAAUAAAAGAACCUUAUAAAUCAAUCCUGAAACAGAUCUGAAACAGAGUGGCGAUCAGUGAGAUAAGAGGUGAACCAGUUAAAAACAGUGUCUGAGAGGCCGACCAGGUGCUGAAGUCUAUUUAAUAAUGUGAUGGUCAACUGCAUCAAAGGCGGCGGCGGUUAGAUCCAGCAGGACCAAGACUGUGAGGUUGCCAUUAUCUAAAUUGCACCUGAUGUCAUUCAAAAUUUUUAAAAGGGCUGUCUCAGUACUGGGGUUCCUCCUAAAUCCUGAUUUG